rnacentral:misc_RNA from 1 species
GAUGAAGAACGUAGCGAAAUGCGAUAAGUAGUGUGAAUUGCAGAAUUCAGUGAGUCAUCGAAUCUUUGAACGCACAUUGCGCCCUUUGGUAUUGCGAAGGGCAUGCCUGUUCGAGCGUCAUUAUCACCCCUCAAGCCCUCGGCUUGGUGUUGGACGGUUUGGUGGAGGCCCCCUCGGGGGCUCCUGCCCCUCCCAAAGACAAUGACGGCGGCCUCGUUGGACCCCCGGUACACUGAGUUCUUCACGGGACACGUAUCGGACACAUGGGUUUACGGGACACGGUCUGCCUCCCCUCAGGGAGAAUCUUUCUAAGGUUGACCUCGGAUCAGGUAGGGAUACCCGCUGAACUUAAGCAUAUCAAUAAGCGGAGGA